GAUUAAUGAGCUUGAUAUAAGCUUUAGUUUUGAAAACUAAAGAAAGAAAUUUAUUCUAUUAAUUU
rnacentral:tRNA from 1 species